GACGAACGCUGGCGGCGUGCUUAACACAUGCAAGUCGAACGGAAAGGCCCUGCUUUUGUGGGGUGCUCGAGUGGCGAACGGGUGAGUAACACGUGAGUAACCUGCCCUUGACUUUGGGAUAACUUCAGGAAACUGGGGCUAAUACAGGAUAGGAGCUCCUGCUGCAUGGUGGGGGUUGGAAAGUUUCGGCGGUUGGGGAUGGACUCGCGGCUUAUCAGCUUGUUGGUGGGGUAGUGGCUUACCAAGGCUUUGACGGGUAGCCGGCCUGAGAGGGUGACCGGCCACAUUGGGACUGAGAUACGGCCCAGACUCCUACGGGAGGCAGCAGUGGGGAAUAUUGCACAAUGGGCGGAAGCCUGAUGCAGCAACGCCGCGUGCGGGAUGACGGCCUUCUGGUUGUAAACCGCUUUCGCCUGUGACGAAGCGUGAGUGACGGUAAUGGGUAAAGAAGCACCGGCUAACUACGUG
rnacentral:rRNA from 1 species